UGCCUAAUACAUGCAAGUCGAACGAGCUUCCGUUGAAUGACGUGCUUGCACUGAUUUCAACAAUGAAGCGAGUGGCGAACUGGUGAGUAACACGUGGGAAAUCUGCCCAGAAGCAGGGGAUAACACUUGGAAACAGGUGCUAAUACCGUAUAACAACAAAAUCCGCAUGGAUUUUGUUUGAAAGGUGGCUUCGGCUAUCACUUCUGGAUGAUCCCGCGGCGUAUUAGUUAGUUGGUGAGGUAAAGGCCCACCAAGACGAUGAUACGUAGCCGACCUGAGAGGGUAAUCGGCCACAUUGGGACUGAGACACGGCCCAAACUCCUACGGGAGGCAGCAGUAGGGAAUCUUCCACAAUGGACGAAAGUCUGAUGGAGCAAUGCCGCGUGAGUGAAGAAGGGUUUCGGCUCGUAAAACUCUGUUGUUAAAGAAGAACACCUUUGAGAGUAACUGUUCAAGGGUUGACGGUAUUUAACCAGAAAGCCACGGCUAACUACGUGCCAGCAGCCGCGGUAAUACGUAGGUGGCAAGCGUUGUCCGGAUUUAUUGGGCGUAAAGCGAGCGCAGGCGGUUUUUUAAGUCUGAUGUGAAAGCCUUCGGCUUAACCGGAGAAGUGCAUCGGAAACUGGGAGACUUGAGUGCAGAAGAGGACAGUGGAACUC
rnacentral:rRNA from 2 species